rnacentral:tRNA from 1 species
ACCCAGCUUGUUCAGUCAGUAGAGCAUGGGACUCUCGAUCCCAGAGUCAUGGGUUUUGAGCCCAAUGUUGGGCA